rnacentral:rRNA from 1 species
CAGUCGUACCUGCGGGUAAUCAGCCUUUCGGGUAUGAUUCUGUGGAGUGUGGGGAGCUAAACACCCUCAUGCCUGCAUAUUCGUGCUCUUGGGUGUACUUGCUCGUGUGGUUGGUUAACAUCAAUUUCGGAUGCCAUAAAAUGACUGGAGAAUGUGGCUUCGAUCUCGUAUUGAAGUGUUAUAGCCUUUGGAAUGUGAUGUUCGAGACCGAGG